AAUCUCCCUGUCACUGAACAGCUGGAACCCAAGGCUUCGGAAGAUGAGUCAGCAGCCCCAGUGGCAAAUAGGACCCAGGUGGCACGUACCUGCCUCUUCUUGGAGUAUGGACGAGUCGAACCGGGCACAAGCAUGGAGCUGCGGGUGAGUCCCGGCUGGCGCUGGCGCGGCGCAGUGAGCACCAGCUGACGAAGAGGGCUCCCCGGCCUCGGCUCCUGCCUGACUCUCUCCCACCUCCGCCGGGGGCCCAGAAGGGACCUCCCCGGGAAAUCGGCGCCACCCAGCGGGCAGCCGCCUCAUCGCGCCUGGGCCGGCAGAGCCACACCCCGCGUCUCGCGUCACUGAGUCGCGUCACGGCUAUUGGCUUGUUCCUACUGUGGCGUCAUUAGAGCCCGGCCUCCGGCUGGGGCCACCCAGGCAACCGAUAUACACAGAGAACCACGUGGAGGAAAAGCACGCGAGUUUGGAGCGGGUGGAGCAGGAACAGAGGUGGACUGGAAUGUCACACGACGGGGCAGCUGGAAGGGCACCACUGAGUUCAGUACUUCAAAAUUGCCGUGCUCUACCUCUCCCCAGUGCACAAAAACACUCUCCACACCAAGCUGCUGCUGCUGGGGGAUGGAGGGAUGGCGUCAGCGAUUCAAGACUGUUUUUCCUACCUGUUCAGCACUUCUUUCAGCGAUAUGAAGUUAAAUCCAGAGCAGCAAGAGGGAUCUUAUAAAAAUAUGACCAGAUCACAUCCUUCAACACUUCCCUGUUACCCUUACAAUAAAAUUCAAACUCUUCACCAUGA
rnacentral:lncRNA from 1 species